AUGUCGAGCACCGGCGCGGCGGGCCCGGACGCCGACGCGGCGGUCGGUGAGGGGCUGGAGCUGGCGCAGUUCGGGGCGGGCUGCUUCUGGAGCGUGGAGCUGGCGUACCAGCGGCUCCCCGGCGUGGCGCGCACGGAGGUGGGCUACUCGCAGGGGCACCUCGACGGGCCGACCUACCGCGACGUCUGCGGCGGCGGCACCGGCCACGCCGAGGUCGUGCGCGUGCACUACGACCCCAAGGAGUGCCCCUACGCCGUGCUCCUCGACGUCUUUUGGGCCAAGCACAACCCCACCACGCUCAACAAGCAGGGCAACGACGUCGGGACGCAGUACCGGUCGGGCAUCUACUACUACACGGCGGAGCAGGAGCGGCAGGCGCGGGAGUCGCUGGCGGAGAAGCAGCGGGAGUGGAAGGAGAAGAUCGUGACGGAGGUCCUCCCGGCGCGGAGGUUCUACCCGGCCGAGGACUACCACCAGCAGUACCUCGAGAAGGGCGGCCAGUCCGCCAAGAAGCGCUGCUCCGACCCCAUCCGCUGCUACGGCUGA
rnacentral:rRNA from 1 species